rnacentral:lncRNA from 1 species
UAAUGAAACAGAUCAUGUGAUAAAUGAUUCUAAGGACAGAUGUAGAAUACUCAAGUUUCUUAUUCUUUGGUUUUGUAUGAAUUGUAGGGUUUUAGAAACUAUUAUUUAUGAAUAAGGAAUUCACGUACAGGAGAGUGAACAAAAGAGGCUGAAAAGUGGAUCGAUGAUGACCGUUGGUGGAGUAUGAGUCAUGGACGAUGACAACUUCAUUCUGGAAUCUGAGGUCUACUAAAGGACAUAGAAUCUAUUGCCUCUUUUUGAAAUGAUCCUAUAGGCUGAUUUUAGGAAUCUAAAUGGACUGUUUUCUUAGAUUAUUUUCAUGGAUUUUGAUUCUUCUUAUAAGUGGAUCAAUUAAUUAAGAAUCAAUAUAUAAAUAUUAAAAAGUGAAGAUUAAUAGCAUGAAGAUAUGUGGUAAGGCAAUAAAAACUACUAAAAUACAUUGAGAAUACUGAAUUCCAUUAAGAAAAAAUAAGUGGUUUGAGUGCCUUUCCUUCUUUGGCUCAUGUCAAUAGAAAUGUUCUUAUUCUGGGUCCAUAGUCAGUUCAGUAUUACUCAUUUUUCAAAAAGGAAAUUUGUAAGUAUCAUUCCAGAUUAGUGUAUUAGUAAUUGAUAGACUAAACGUAAGGCAGAGUGCAUGCAAUAGUGAUUUAGUGUCUUGAUGUUGUUAUAUGUUCUGCUUUGUCCUUCUCAGAAAGAGAACCCGGAAGUUCAUGGUGGCCUCACUGUAGCAGCCUUAAGCCCACUAAUCAAUGCACUCAAGCGGAUGCAUGCGUUUUCCAUGAUUUCCUUUGUGUGUUGAGAGCCUAGAGAAGAACAAUGGACGCACAGCAGUGGGUUUAAGGAUCUUCCGUGGUCUUGGGCUCUACAGACUGAUGUGAGUAACACAGUAAUUAAAAUUUAUGUCUUUGAGAACUUUUUUCUCAUGUAUUCACUGUAUUAUAAAAGUGUGAAACAUAAUUAAUAUUGGUCAAUUAAUGAAUCAAUCAACAGACUUAUGCCGAUAAGAAUGAGGAAAUAGAGGCCCAUUCAUGGACCAGUGAUGAUGACUGAUGGCGUAUGAGUCACGGAUGGUGAAUACUAUGUGCCUGAAACUCUGAGGUCCAAAAAACGUGAAAUUGAAAGUCACUCAGUUGUGUCCA